AUGUCCAGCAUCUAUGCCGGUGCAUCAACACUUCCUAGGAUGUACUGUGACAACUAUUUGAUCGAGGCAGACCCAAGGACUUCUAUUCUCAGUGGGUUCGGAUGGCUGCAGGAGACAGUAUCAACACCUGGAGAAACAUAUACCAUGUUGCGGAUGAACGCACGCCUCUUCUUUCAAUUGCAUGACUUGUUGGUCGAAAGGUAUGGUUUCAAAUUAACCUAUUUCGUGAGAAGUUAUGAGGUGCUUGCAUUGUUCUUGUGGACAUUAGGGGGGUGCGAGUCUAAUACGAGAACACAAAAUCGUUUCAAGCACUCAGGAGAUACAGUCCACCGAAAGUUUCAUGAGGUUUUACUCUGUGUGAUUAAGAUGGCAGCAGAUUACCUCAAAUCUAAGGACCCAAACUUUAGUAGUGUGCACCCAAGGAUUCAAAAGGAUAGAAGGGCUUCUCCACAUCUUCAGGACUGCAUCGGUGCACUAGAUGUUACUCAUGUUAGAGCUACCAUUCCUGCUGGCGACCAAGUUAGAUACAUUGGAAGGUCAAGAUCAACAACACAGAAUGUUCUGGCAAUAUGUGAUUUUAACAUGCAUUUCAUGUACACUUCAGUUGGUCAACCCGGCUCUAUGAAUGAUAGCAGUGUCUUGUAUCAUGCAAUUGAAGCUGACAAAGAUACCUUCCCUCAUCCUCCAAAGGGUAAGUACUAUCUUGUGGAUGCAGGCUAUCCUAAUAGACCUGGAUAUCUCGCACCUUGCAAGGGAGAGAGGUACCACAUGCCUGAUUUUCAAUGA
rnacentral:rRNA from 1 species